rnacentral:tRNA from 1 species
GCCGGGUUGGUGGAAUGGUAGACACGGAGGCCUCAAAAGCCUUUGCCUGAAAGGGCGUGCGGGUUCGAGUCCCGCACCCGGCACCC